AUUUAUUUCUUUUAAGCUCGCGAUAUUCGGCACAAACUGGAUUAUUCAGUCUUCACUCUAGAGCGUACACACGUGGAUCAAAUUAGAGCUAGCUAGAUCUAGAUCUAAAUCUAGUUGAAGAUAUCUACUUGGUAGUCUAAACCUCAAAGGAGCUUAGGGAAGUGAUGGCAGUUGCAGGGUAUGAACCAGACGACCAUGCAGAGACCAACGAGGCGACCAAACAGUCCAUCGUGCAUACCACAUAACCAGGUCCAGAAUGCCAGUUUUCUUUAAGGGCAGCUGACAAUAAGAAUUGUCUAUGUAUGCACUACAGAUGCUGUUCAAUAUCUUUUCAUGAGGAAGCCUGCUCAAAAAGAUCGCCACAUUUUCUUUAGGGGAAGUUGACAUUAAUCUUUUAGGUUAAUAAUAACCUAUGCAUGCAGUACAGAUGCUGUUCAUCAUCUUUUCAUAAGCAAGCCUGCUCAAGAAGGUAAGAAUUAAAUUUUGCUUUUAGAUUACUGAUCAGCAAUCUGAAAGUAAAUUGUUAAUGGGAUGGAAUUGAUUAAAUGUAAAUAAAGAAAUGCUAUCCUAAUUUUGAAAUAUGCUGGUUGUGGUUUUUUUUUUAGUUAUGUUUUUUUUAAGUUUCACUGUGAUAAUUGUUUAUUUUAAUUCUAGAAUAACUUUUCAGCCAACUUAUUUUUAAAAUUACCAUAGAACUCUAAUUACAACAGAAUAUAGUUGUAUUAGUAAGAGCCUGUGAUAAAGUUAAUAUAAAUAAAUUGGACAAAAUAUAAUAUUGAAUGAAUUGAAGCCUAGCUCGAUCUAGUCUGCCAUUGCACUUUUAGCAUAGUCAAAUACCAGUGCCACAUUUGCUGACACCAAUUCAUAACAUUUAAUUUAAGGAGAAGAUUGAACUCCAAAUUUUGAAAUACCAUUAAUUUUUGUGUUGCUUAAUAGGCUUUAGAAGCAACCUAAUUUUUGAGCACCGUUUAUCAUCAAGGGCUGGAAAUAUAACCGUUAAAUAGUAUGUCCACAUAGAUAAAUGUAAGGUCUUCUGAUGUUUAAU